UUCACGCUACCUAUUCAGUCAAGUCGUUGCUGUCCGAGGGGCAAGAGGGGAACAAAGAAGAAGACGACUUUCGCGGAGAAAAAUGGCGCCAGAACACUAGGAAGACCUUAGAGAUAGACGUCGGUCCCGUGAAAAUGUGAAAUGGUGCCAGCCCUUGCAUAUGUCUUCUAUCUUCAGAUAUCUUCUGUUAGGCUAGUGAAGUAGGACAUUGACAGAAGGUGCUGCAUUUAAAUCAGUAUGGAUUGAAGGAGAGAAUAUAUACAAGGCUGAAUUUUCUUUUACACAGGAAAUUUAAAACCAGUUUUACCAAAUCAAAAAAUUUCAUGAACUUCGAUGGAAAGUUAAAUGGUAAAUAUCGGUUUGGAUUGAAGUGAACAUGAACAAUGAUGAAAAGAAAGUUUUAAACCAAUUUUACCAGGGAGACAAGUUUAUAAUAGUAAUACAGUUAUUAAAUCAGACAAAAAAUUAUGGACAGUCUGGAAUAGGAAACAGGGGCAGUAAGCAGGAAAGUUAAUACCAAUGACUUUAGGACAUAUUAUAAAGUAAACCUAACAAAAGUUUGGGGAACAUAUGACAACUAAAAAUGGGAGGAUACAGUAGCCAGACAUCUGACAGAAAAUGCAACAAGUGUUUCUGGAACAUCUGACGGUGAAAAUAUCUUCUGCUUUUGGAAGAAAUCAUUAGCCUUGUCUGUUGUAAACUGGCAAAAGUUACUUUGCUGUGAUAAAUUGAUGGAAACAGCUAAGACUUCUUGUCAUUAAACAUGCCAGUUUUUUUUUUUUUUUUUUUUUUUUUGCUAUCAACAAAUGUUCACAAAUAUACCCUACUUUGGUUGCAGUAAUUUAUAAAAAUAUAUAUAUAUGAAGCCAGUAAGUGUUCUUGUGCUAUAUAAAAUGUUUAACUUUUGUAAAUUAUUUUUGAAAAAUUAAUGAUUUUAAUUAAACGUUCUAAAACAUA